rnacentral:rRNA from 1 species
UACGUAGGGGGCUAGCGUUGUCCGGAUUUAUUGGGCGUAAAGAGCGUGUAGGCGGCCAGGUAGGUCUGCUGUGAAAACUCGAGGCUCAACCUCGAGACGUCGGUUGAAACCGUAAGGCUAGAGUCCGGAAGAUGAGAGUGGAAUUCCCGGUGUAGCGGUGAAAUGCUCAGAUAUCGGGAAGAACACCCGUGGCGAAGGCGGCUCUCUGGGACGGUACUGACGCUGAGACGCGAAAGCGUGGGGAGCGAACAGG